CCCGGCUUUAGGGAGGGCGUUUCGUCAAGCUUCCAAGGGGCGGCUCGUCUCACCGUUUGGCGGCGUGGAGACAGCGACCGGGGGUUUCCGUGGUGCUGGAGCGUGCCAGAAGGGGAGGGAGAGGGGGAGAUUUUGCGGCCGAGGGGCUGGGGAGUCCCGGUAUCCCAGUGGACGGGGGACCCGAGUCUCUCCUCUCUCAGUCCCACCCUUGGAUUACUUUGCUCUCGUCUCCUUCGCUGAAGGCCGUGCAUAGGUUUAUUGUUUUGCGUUGAUUUAUCAUCGGCCCUUUAUUUUGUACAAGUCGAUUCGACAUACCUGGUGGUGAGCUGGGUUGGGCAGAGAGACUAUGGCGCUGGAGACUAUGAUGUUGCCAGCCCAACAUCAGAGAAAACUUUUGAAUCUGGCAUCAGGCCCAAUACUUGAAAUUUGUGAACAAUGAAACUGAAAACCAAGAAUUUAAUUCUGGACUACAGAAGUUUGGCAAAAAUGUGUGUGCUGCCAUUUGGAUCAAGUGAAGCUAGAUAAUCAAAAGCAUUAUGGGAAACAAGCAUGAUCUUAAUUCCAGGAGGAUGAGGCAUGUGACUCUUACACAGUAAUAAAGUGACCUAUCAUGUCAUCCAGAGAAAAAGUGUUUCCACAACCUAUAUUAAUCUUUUUUUCCUUCAGGGAAUGUAACUUGUUACCUAGACCAAUAGUACAUUUAUAUUAUCUGAUUUCAAAUUGAACUUCCUGGCCAUAUCCAUUCUUGUAUUUACUCCUGACAAUGGUGUAUUACUUCCACUGUUUCUCUAAAAUUAAUAAACAGAAAUAAGAGGAACAGCUGCAUGUGCAAAGUGUUGGUACUUCAUUUAGAAACCUUGCAAGAUAAUGUAUUAAUGUUAUGAUGCAUGCUCACCCUUACCACUAAUAUUACUGCAGUACUAUGGUUCAUUGUGCUGAAAGCCAUCAGAAAUGUCAGGAUAAUAUUGUUCACCUACCUUCUUGGCUCAGAUCCACUAGGGUGAACAGAUGAAACACAUCUACAAAUCAAAUUAGAGCACAUCCAAAUAAUUGGUUUCAACCUGGAAAUGAAAUUUAACUUAUGUUCAUGUAUACAAAGAUGACUUUUUAUUUUAAAAAAGUAAUACAUUUUCAAUGUAUUGUCUAUAUUUUUAAAGUCUUUGUUUUUUAUUCUUGUAUGUUACAGCUUUAAGUUCUGUAAGUAUUACGGAAGUGGUUAAUACAGAUGCAGGAAAUAAAUCUUCACUGCUUUUCUAACCAUCCUGGUUAUUUUGAACAGGUUGCUGUAUUACAAUUUGAAGAGUAACUAUUUAUGCUCCACCUAGAUAAGAUCCAAAUGUUUUUUAGCGAGCAGGCAAAACUGAAAUAUGCCAGAAAGCAAAUGUCUCACCUGCUAAGUGUCAUUUGCUUCUUUUUUAAUAUGUGAAGUUUUUGUAUUUUUAUGCUUGUGCUAUAAUUCAUUCAAAACAUUCUAUAUUUGGCCAUCAUAUUAUUUCAGUUGUUCUACUGUGUUGCCUUCUUCUUAAGGGAGGGGUGAUGUAAAAAUUAUGUUGAACGAGAAUAGCGCAGUAUCAUAACAUAUUUCAUUGUUUUGAUAUGCUUUGUUUCUCGAAAAGAAAGUUCAGUUACAUUUGACUGAUUACAAGUCUUGUACCACAGUCAAAUGGUAUUGAUUAUAGUAUUCACUAAUAAGGCUAUUUUCUGGGACAAAAUAUGGGUGGAUCACAUCAAUUCACAUUAUAAUCUCUGAAUAUUGUAUAAAUGAUUCUUUUUCCAAAACAGGUUAAUGCUAAUUCUGGAACAUUUUAAAUUUUUGUAACCAUUUUAAUUAAUGUUAAUUAAUUACUCACAUCUGUAAGAAUGUAGAAGCACAGAAAUUCACAGGAAGCAUUUUAGUAAGACAAAAUAUUUGCCAGAGUAUAGUUAGUUGUAUAUUUAUUUGGCAUUUUAACUGAAAAAAUAUUCAGAGGGAAAUAAAGACUGAAAUAUUUGCCUGCAAAGGAAGUGCAUGAACAAAAAGAAAUUCUUCUAAACUCAGAAUCCUUGUGCUUUGGUUAUUCUGGUGAAUAAUUUCAAAUCGGUAAUGAUUCAGCAGCAACAAAACUUGAAACAUUUUGCAUUAUUGUACAUUCUGCCUAAAAAAUCCCAAGGGAUUCCAGAGUGACUUUGUACAGAGUGAUUUUAUGCAAAAAGCACAAAGCUGAUGCAACACAAAAUGUUUUUCUGGAUUCCGCUAUCAAUUUGAUUCCAAAUACCCACAUGGAGGCUCUGUGGGCUACCCAUUUGUAUGCCAUCUCCAGGGAAACAACCAGGAUCUGCUCAUCCCUAUUGCCAUGGCAACUGAACUCCAACUCACAAUUCCCUCUUCUGUAUAGUCUUGCCAGCCUUCCCAUUGCUAUGCAACAAGAAUGGAUCAGCAGCCCAUUUGGGCAAUCAAGGGCUGGGUUGAGGCUAACAAUGCAGGUUCAGAUUAAAAAUUGAGUCCAAUAGAAAACAGCUGUGCCUGUGAAAUUUUAGAAAUGAGGGUAGAGGAGAUGAUCAGUAGUUUUUAUGUUGACAAACUUUGACUUCCACGUGGGCUUAAGGCUGUGGUUUCUAUUCUGCCCCUUCUCUGUCCAGUUUCUCCAUCUAUGGAUGUGGCAAAAUAAAUAUUGCAAAAAUUUCUAUAACCAACCUGUCUUCAUCAUCACUGCUGCUUAUGUCAUCGUAUUCCAAAUGAAUUGGCUUAUUCAUUGCUUCCAAGCUUUGCUUUUGUUUAGAUGGCGUUCCAGAAAAAUUUUCAGCAACCAGUACACAAGCCUCAUGAUUUUAUCCAACCUCAACAAGCCUUUUUUGUAAUGGUUUUUGCAUCAACUUUAAACUUUGGGAGAGAUAAAAUCAUUUUUUUCAAAUACCAGCAUUUCAAUCCCACAAUGAUCAAAUGUAAAAACAAAAAAUGUCCUAUUUGAUGCUUUCAGUAUUAAAUAUCUGUUCUUUC